GUGAACAAUUAAGGGCGCGCGGUGGAUGCCUAGGCUCUCGGAGGCGAAGAAGGACGCGAUAAGCCGCGAUAGUCCACGGCGAGGUGCAAGUAACCCUUGACCCGUGGGUUUCCGAAUGGGGCAACCCGGCCGUCUAGAUGACGGUCAUGCAUUAUCAUGCAGGCGAACGCGGGGAACUGAAACAUCUCAUUACCCGCAGGAGAAGAAAACAAAAUGUGAUUCCCCCAGUAGUGGCGAGCGAACGGGGAAGAGCCCAAACCGGUAGCGUUUCGGCGAUACCGGGGUCAUGGGACCACGCCAUUCGAAACAAGAUGAAGUGCAAUUACCUGGAAAGGUAAGCCGCGGAGGGUGAUAGCCCCGUGCACGUCAAUUCUUGUGGAGAUAGUGGAAUCCCGAGUAGGGCGGGACACGAGAAAUCCUGCCUGAAUUCGCCAGGACCUCCUGGCAAGGCUAAAUACUCCCGAGAGACCGAUAGUGAACCAGUACCGCGAGGGAAAGGUGAAAAGUACCCCGAGCAGGGGGGUGAAAUAGACCCUGAACCCGCGCGCCUACAAGCGGUCGGAGCUGCCUUGUGCAGUGACGGCGUGCCUUUUGCAUAAUGAGCCUACGAGUUAGUCGUCACCAGCGAGGUUAAGGGCUUCAGGCCCGUAAGCCGAAGUGAAAGCGAGCCUUAACAGGGCGUUAAGUUGGUGGCGCUAGACGCGAAACCUUGUGAUCUACCCACGAGCAGGUUGAAGUCGCGGUAACACGUGAUGGAGGACCGAACCGGUAAACGUUGAAAAGUUUUCGGAUGACUCGCGGGUAGGGGUGAAAGGCCAAUCAAACUGGGAAAUAGCUCGUACUCUCCGAAAUGCAUUUCGGUGCAGCCUGUGAUGUUCUGUUCCAGAGGUAGAGCUACUGGUUGGACGCGAGGGCUUCACCGCCUAUCAAAUCCGGAUAAACUCCGAAUGCUGGAACACGAAAUCAUGGAGUGAGCCCGCGGGUGCUAAGGUCCGCGGACGAGAGGGAAAGAACCCGGACCACCGGCUAAGGUCCCGGAUGGACAGUUAAGUUGAUCAAACGAGGUGGGAUCGCGGAGACAGCUAGGAUGUUGGCUUGGAAGCAGCCAUUCAUUUAAAGAGUGCGUAACAGCUCACUAGUCGAGCGAUCCCGCGUGGAUAAUACACGGGCAUUAAACUGUCAACCGAAGCCGUGGGGUCAGCGAAAAGCUGACCGGUAGGAGAGCAUUCCUGCCAGCGUUGAAGGUCACCCGCGAGAGUGACUGGAGCGGCAUGAAAAGCAAAUGUAGGCAUAAGUAACGAUAAUGGGGGCGAGAACCCCCCACGCCGCAAGACCAAGGCUUCCCCGGCAAUGUCAAUCAGCCGGGGGUCAGCCGGCCUCUAAGGCUAACCCGAACGGGGAUGCCGACGAGAAACGGGUUAACAUUCCCGUGCUUCUCGUCACCGUGACGCGGUGACGGGGUGAUGAAUGGACCGCGCGCUGACGGAAUAGCGCGUUGAAGGCCGUACCCUUCGAGGGUGGUAGUCAAGCACGCCACCCGAGGCGAUAGCCGAUAGUACCACGAGACUCCGGUCGAGUGGAUAGCGUCCAGGCAAUUUACCCCCGAGAAAACCCGCUAAACUUCAAGUGACGAGGAACCGUACUGUAAACGGACACACGUGGUCGGGUAGAACAUACCAAGGCGCUCGAGUGAUUCAUGGUCAAGGAACUAGGCAAAAUAGUCCUGUAACUUCGGGAAAAAGGACGCUCUAGUGAUAGAGCCGCAGAGUAAUGGCCCAGGCGACUGUUUACCAAAAACACAUGGCUAUGCCAAAUCGAAAGAUGACGUAUAUGGCCUGACACCUGCCCGGUGCCGGAAGGUUAAGAGGAGAGCUCAUCGGAAACGAGAAGGUUUGAAUUGAAGCCCCGGUAAACGGCGGCCGUAACUAUAACGGUCCUAAGGUAGCGAAAUUCCUUGUCGGGUAAGUUCCGACCUG
rnacentral:rRNA from 1 species